GUUUGAUUUCGAAAAAAAUCAAUUUUUGGUGAAAAAUUCGAUCCGGGGGGUAUACCCGAAAAAUGAAAAAACCCAAACUUUGAUGGUCGAUAUCUCGACUUCUAUGGGAGCUAUCGGAAAAAUUCCAACGGUUUUGUCUUAGUUUCGUCAUUCUGAAUCCAACGAGACCAUCCGCAAGGUCGUAGCUCUUACGAUAGCCGAGAUAUGGCAUUUUUGAUGCCCAUUUUUGGCCUCAAAAACGGACGUCGAAAACGACUUUUUCAGGAUUUUCAAAGUGCUCUCAUUCCCUUAGUUCUGCUCGGAUCCUGUUAUAACCCGGUGUUUUCGUAAUCUAGGUGAUCCAAAUAAGACGCUGGUAUACUUAGUUUGAUUUCGAAAAAAAUCAAUUUUUGGUGAAAAAUUCGAUACGGGGGGGUAUACCCGAAAAACGACUUUUUCAGGAUUUUCAAAGUGCUCUCAUUCCCUUAGUUCUGCUCGGAUCCUGUUAUAACCCGGUGUUUUCGUAAUCUAGGUGAUCCAAAUAAGACGCUGGUAUACUUAGUUUGAUUUCGAAAAAAAUCAAUUUUUGGUGAAAAAUUCGAUACGGGGGGGUAUACCCGAAAAAUGAAAAAACCCAAACUUUGAUGGUCGAUAUCUCGGCUUCUAUGGGAGCUAUCGGGAAAAUUCCAACGGUUUUGUCUUAGUUUCGUCAUUCUGAAUCCAACGAGACCAUCCGCAAGGUCGUAGCUCUUACGAUAGCCGAGAUAUGGCAUUUUUGAUGCCCAUUUUUGGCCCAAAAAACGGACGUCGAAAACGACUUUUUGAGGAUUUUCAAAGUGCUCUCAUUCCCUUAGUUCUGCUCGGAUCCUGUUAUAACCCGGUGUUUUCGUAAUCUAGGUGAUCCAAAUAAGACGCUGGUAUACUUAGUUUGAUUUCGAAAAAAAUCAAUUUUUGGUGAAAAAUUCGAUACGGGGGGGUAUACCCGAAAAACGACUUUUUCAGGAUUUUCAAAGUGCUCUCAUUCCCUUAGUUCUGCUCGGAUCCUGUUAUAACCCGGUGUUUUCGUAAUCUAGGUGAUCCAAAUAAGACGCUGGUAUACUUAGUUUGAUUUCGAAAAAAAUCAAUUUUUGGUGAAAAAUUCGAUACGGGGGGGUAUACCCGAAAAAUGAAAAAACCCAAACUUUGAUGGUUGAUAUCUCGGCUUCUAUGGGAGCUAUCGGGAAAAUUCCAACGGUUUUGUCUUAGUUUCGUCAUUCUGAAUCCAACGAGACCAUCCGCAAGGUCGUAGCUCUUACGAUAGCCGAGAUAUGGCAUUUUUGAUGCCCAUUUUUGGCCUCAAAAACGGACGUCGAAAACGACUUUUUCAGGAUUUUCAAAGUGCUCUCAUUCCCUUAGUUCUGCUCGGAUCCUGUUAUAACCCGGUGUUUUCGUAAUCUAGGUGAUCCAAAUAAGACGCUGGUAUACUUAGUUUGAUUUCGAAAAAAAUCAAUUUUUGGUGAAAAAUUCGAUACGGGGGGGUAUACCCGAAAAACGACUUUUUCAGGAUUUUCAAAGUGCUCUCAUUCCCUUAGUUCUGCUCGGAUCCUGUUAUAACCCGGUGUUUUCGUAAUCUAGGUGAUCCAAAUAAGACGCUGGUAUACUUAGUUUGAUUUCGAAAAAAAUCAAUUUUUGGUGAAAAAUUCGAUACGGGGGGGUAUACCCGAAAAAUGAAAAAACCCAAACUUUGAUGGUCGAUAUCUCGGCUUCUAUGGGAGCUAUCGGGAAAAUUCCAACAGUUUUGUCUUAGUUUCGUCAUUCUGAAUCCAACGAGACCAUCCGCAAGGUCGUAGCUCUUACGAUAGCCGAGAUAUGGCAUUUUUGAUGCCCAUUUUUGGCCUCAAAAACGGACGUCGAAAACGACUUUUUCAGGAUUUUCAAAGUGCUCUCAUUCCCUUAGUUCUGCUCGGAUCCUGUUAUAACCCGGUGUUUUCGUAAUCUAGGUGAUCCAAAUAAGACGCUGGUAUACUUAGUUUGAUUUCGAAAAAAAUCAAUUCUUGGUGAAAAAUUCGAUACGGGGGGGUAUACCCGAAAAAUGAAAAAACCCAAACUUUGAAGGUCGAUAUCUCGGCUUCUAUGGGAGCUAUCGGGAAAAUUCCAACGGUUUUGUCUUAGUUUCGUCAUUCUGAAUCCAACGAGACCAUCCGCAAGGUCGUAGCUCUUACGAUAGCCGAGAUAUGGCAUUUUUGAUGCCCAUUUUUGGCCUCAAAAACGGACGUCGAAAACGACUUUUUCAGGAUUUUCAAAGUGCUCUCAUUCCCUUAGUUCUGCUCGGAUCCUGUUAUAACCCGGUGUUUUCGUAAUCUAGGUGAUCCAAAUAAGACGCUGGUAUACUUAGUUUGAUUUCGAAAAAAAUCAAUUUUUGGUGAAAAAUUCGAUACGGGGGGGUAUACCCGAAAAACGACUUUUUCAGGAUUUUCAAAGUGCUCUCAUUCCCUUAGUUCUGCUCGGAUCCUGUUAUAACCCGGUGUUUUCGUAAUCUAGGUGAUCCAAAUAAGACGCUGGUAUACUUAGUUUGAUUUCGAAAAAAAUCAAUUUUUGGUGAAAAAUUCGAUACGGGGGGGUAUACCCGAAAAAUGAAAAAACCCAAACUUUGAUGGUUGAUAUCUCGGCUUCUAUAGGAGCUAUCGGGAAAAUUCCAACGGUUUUGUCUUAGUUUCGUCAUUCUGAAUCCAACGAGAUC